GAUGAACGCUGGCGGCGUGCCUAAUACAUGCAAGUCGAGCGAACAGAUGAGGAGCUUGCUCCUCUGACGUUAGCGGCGGACGGGUGAGUAACACGUGGAUAACCUACCUAUAAGACUGGGAUAACUUCGGGAAACCGGAGCUAAUACCGGAUAAUAUAUUGAACCGCAUGGUUCAAUAGUGAAAGACGGUUUUGCUGUCACUUAUAGAUGGAUCCGCGCCGCAUUAGCUAGUUGGUAAGGUAACGGCUUACCAAGGCAACGAUGCGUAGCCGACCUGAGAGGGUGAUCGGCCACACGGGAACUGAGACACGGGCCAGACUCCUACGGGAGGCAGCAGUAGGGAAUCUUCCGCAAUGGGCGAAAGCCUGACGGAGCAACGCCGCGUGAGUGAUGAAGGUCUUCGGAUCGUAAAACUCUGUUAUUAGGGAAGAACAAAUGUGUAAGUAACUAUGCACGUCUUGACGGUACCUAAUCAGAAAGCCACGGCUAACUACGUG
rnacentral:rRNA from 1 species